ensembl:lncRNA novel transcript, antisense to CBLN1
AGGCGCGGCGAGGCGGGUGGCGCGCGGCAGCAGGGUUGGGCUCUCGCCGUGAGUCGACGAAGGGAGCGCGGGCGCGCGCCCGCGUCCGCGCACUGAGAGUCGCCUCGGCCGCUCGCUUUCUCGACUCCCGCCUCGCGCCUCGAUCCUGUUCCGCCUCCCUCGGCCCUCCUGCCCGCCCCCACUCGUCGGCCCUCAGCUCAGAGACCUAAUAGGAUGGGGUCUUAGAGAAACAUCUUUUGAGCCACAGACUUCUUUGUUACCAGAAGGAAAAUGAAAGAAGAAAUUUAAAUACCACUUGAAGAGAGCUGAUCGCCACCAACUGGCCUCUGGGUGGAUUUGGCCAAUGGAAGCACCUGUAGAGGGAAGAGAGUGAGGUUAGGAUAUUUCUUCCUGCUGUCUCCGUGCUUCCCUGCAGAGAGUGUGAAGAAAUGACCCUGAAAAGCCUCUGGCAGAGGAUUCUUCUUUCAGGAUGGUGUCGCCUCCUCAGCAGCCCAUCCUCCUCCCCUGGACUCAAGCUCUCAUUCCAGUAACACUCCUUCCUCCUUCUCCAUCUUCAGGGGGAGGUUUGCCAGUCGGUGGGUUCUAAGCAUAUCUCGCUGAUUCCCCCCAACCCUGCCGACACCUCUGUAGGUCGUCCCUUCAUUAAAAUCUCUCCAUUUGAACUAUCUGAGUUUAAUUCCAUUUCCUCCUGGUAUCUCAGUGAUACACGGUAUCAGUACAAAAAUCUCGCUUCACCUUCAGAACCAACAGAUUUGAGACAUUUUAUCCUCUGUGGAACCAUUAGUUAUUUUGUCAUUGGUUGUAUCAGAAAAAAAAAUCAGGAAUGCAAAUCCUUCUUUAUUACAGAUUCAGAUUUGCAUAUUACCAAUGUUAUAUAUUUUAAACAAAACUAUUCAUCAUAAGUUUUAAAAAUUAACUACUGGAGUAGUUAAUGAAUCUGAAUGUAAUUAUGUAGCUUUCAUAAUAUUAAAGUAAAAAUACUAAAAGAAGUAUUUCUUAAAGAAGCAAAUGCUCAAUCUCCAAGUAAAUUUUAUUCUAUGCUCUUCCGGUAUAAGAAUAUGUUAAUAUCUUGAAAAAUAUCAUAUUAUUUUGUGAACUCAUAAAGCUAUUUUGAGUUUUUGUAAAAUGAAAACCUUACCAAAAUGUAUUUUAUUGUUGGAAAGCUUGACCGUUACUGCUGUUUAAUUUUUUGAGCUUGUAAACUUUAUUUGUGCAUGUUUUCAACAAAGAAGGAUUUUAUUGUUAUUACAUAAAACAGGUGAUUUCUAGAUUUUAAAAUCACAAAUUGAAAGCAAGGCACAAUAAUAUAUAUUUCAAGAUAUAGGUACUUAGGAGGCAUCCUUUUAGUCAUCUGUUCAAUGUAGCCAUCUAUUUUACACCUACUGUCUACUAUUGUUUGAGGUCCUUGCCAAAGUAUUGCAGGCUAGUUAGGAAACAUAAAACAAUUAGAAAGUAAUCUAUGACAAGUAAGCUAUCUAUAAAUGGCAAUGAAGGGUAGAACAAAUUCAAUGAAAAUAUCUAUUUAAUCCUAGUGUUUACUGGUCUAGAAGAAUAGGCUGAGUAAAUUAGUAUUUCUCUGGCUGUUGUGGUAACACAUUGCAUGCUAUAACAGUUUUAAGUAAUUACAGGUGCAUUGAAAUUUAUCUAUGGCUUUGUCAUCAUAUUCUAAAAUGUCAUGAGUACUUUUUUCUGACCUCAAUUACUAUGAAAUUGGUUUCCAAUAUUUAAUUAACCAAGAAUAUCAAGUCUAUAGGGUAUUAUUAAGGUGAGACUUCUGUAGCCUUUUCAAUAAAGACCAGAAUUUUGGAGUGCCUUGAACCUUAAUCAUUGAUCUUUAAUUCUUAUUAAGUCAACUGCCCACCUUUUAAAGACUGAGGCCCAGGAAGAGUAAGUUUCUCUGAGACAAUGCAUACAGUACAGUGCUUCUUGGGUAUUGGCUCUAAGACCAGAUGCAAAGAAAGGCUAAAAUCCCAUUUCAUUGUUCAUUAGGUGAGAACCCUUUGUUAAGCUGUGUAACCUCUGUGCAUAGUUUCCUCAUCAGCAAAGUCAGAAAAAGUAUGUACCUGAAGGACUGAUUGUAAGGCUGGGAUGAGAGAAUCCAUGUGAUCAGCCCUCACCAACAGGUGCUGCCCAGUUCAUGAGUGCUGCUGCUGUCCUGCCCAAGUACCCAGCUUGCAGAGUGCCAGAGUUAGAGUCCCAGGGGUGUUCUCCACAGCUGCAUGCUUGAUCCAGGCCUAUCAGAUAUAUUCCAUUGAAAGUCCUCAUUCUCAAAUUUAAAACAAAGACUUUUUGUGUACCUCAAUAGCAAUGCACACACAGUUGGCUUCACAAACAUAUUGUACAUUUCUUUUUUUCAUAUUUAUUCAACAAAUGUAUAUUGACUACCCACCGUGUGACAGGUGUUAUUUGUUGACGGAACCAGGCAUCAUCAGCAAACAAAACUGACAAAGCUUCCUGCCCUCUGUGGAAGGCAUCUGAGGAAGAGACUGGAUUUUGUAGCAACAUGUUAUUCUCAUUAUAAACUUUAUCAUUGGAAUACUAAAGCCAAAUCAUCCCCCAUCUCCUUGAUCAGGAUACCCACUUAAUCUAGGCAGCUACACAAUUGUGAGAGCCUUUGUUUUUUUCUGCUGAAACAUCCUUAAAAAGAUACCUCACAACCCAAGAUUUGGCUUUUCUUAAAUACGAUUUUUAAUUUUUUUCAUUUCUAUCUAGAGAUUUAAUUGGAAAUGGAAAAUCAUCAAUUUUCCAAUUAAAUGUCUGUUCCAAUCAACAUUAUACCUUUUAGGUUGUCAUUGUCAUUUUUAAGUUUAAGCAACUUUAAGGAUUUUGAAUCUGGCUGCCUGUAAAUUAAAGGUGAAAGUAAUCAUUGUGUUGGAUUGGAACAUUUUGUCAAUUGAGAGUGGUUUCCUUGUUCUUAGUGUAUGAAAAGUUUAUUUUUCUAAUGUAGAUUAAUAAAGGAGAUAAAGAAAAACAAAAUGAGU